rnacentral:rRNA from 1 species
AUUGAACGCUGGCGGCAUGCCUUACACAUGCAAGUCGAACGGCAGCACGGGUGCUUGCACCUGGUGGCGAGUGGCGAACGGGUGAGUAAUACAUCGGAACAUGUCCUGUAGGGGGGGAUAGCCCGGCGAAAGCCGGAUUAAUACCGCAUACGAUCUACGGAUGAAAGCGGGGGACCUUCGGGCCUCGCGCUAUAGGGUUGGCCGAUGGCUGAUUAGCUAGUUGGUGGGGUAAAGGCCUACCAAGGCGACGAUCAGUAGCUGGUCUGAGAGGACGAACAGCCACACUGGGACUGAGACACGGCCCAGACUCCUACGGGAGGCAGCAGUGGGGAAUUUUGGACAAUGGGCGAAAGCCUGAUCCAGCAAUGCCGCGUGUGUGAAGAAGGCCUUCGGGUUGUAAAGCACUUUUGUCCGGAAAGAAAUCCUUGGCUCUAAUACAGUCGGGGGAUGACGGUACCGGAAGAAUAAGCACCGGCUAACUACGUG